AUUGAACGCUGGCGGCAGGCCUAACACAUGCAAGUCGAGCGGAUGACGGGAGCUGGCUCCUUGAUUCAGCGGCGGACGGGCGAGUAAUGCCUAGGAGUCUGCCUGGCAGUGGGGGACAACGUUUCGGCAGGAACGCUAAUACCGCAUACGUCCUCCGGGAGAAAGCAGGGGACCUUCGGGCCUCGCGCUAUCAGAUGAGCCUAGGUCGGAUUAGCGAGUUGGGGGGGUAAUGGCUCACCAAGGCGACGAUCCGUAACUGGUCUGAGAGGAUGAUCAGUCACACUGGAACUGAGACACGGUCCAGACUCCUACGGGAGGCAGCAGUGGGGAAUAUUGGACAAUGGGCGAAAGCCUGAUCCAGCCAUGCCGCGUGUGUGAAGAAGGUCUUCGGAUUGUAAAGCACUUUAAGUUGGGAGGAAGGGCAGUAAGUUAAUACCUUGCUGUUUUGACGUUACCGACAGAAUAAGCACCGGCUAACUCUGUGCCAGCCGCCGCAGUAAAAC
rnacentral:rRNA from 1 species